rnacentral:rRNA from 1 species
UGACGGUACCUGACUAAGAAGCCCCGGCUAACUACGUGCCAGCAGCCGCGGUAAUACGUAGGGGCAAGCGUUAUCCGGAUUUACUGGGUGUAAAGGGAGCGUAGACGGAAUUGCAAGUCUGAUGUGAAAAUCCGGGGCCCAACCCCGGAACUGCAUUGGAAACUGUAUUUCUAGAGUGUCGGAGAGGCAAGUGGAAUUCCUGGUGUAGCGGUGAAAUGCGUAGAUAUCAGGAGGAACACCAGUGGCGAAGGCGGCUUGCUGGACGAUGACUGACGUUGAGGCUCGAAAGCGUGGGGAGCAAACAGGAUUAGAUACCCUGGUAGUCCACGCCGUAAACGAUGACUACUAGGUGUCGGGAGGCAAAGCCUUUCGGUGCCGCAGCCAACGCAAUAAGUAGUCCACCUGGGGAGUACGUUCGCAAGAAUG